GAUCCUGGCUCAGGAUGAACGCUAGCUACAGGCUUAACACAUGCAAGUCGAGGGGCAUCGGGAAGUUUGCUUGCAAUCUUGCCGGCGACCGGCGCACGGGUGAGCAACGCGUAUCCAACCUGGCCCUUAGUAGGGGAUAGCCCGGCGAAAGUCGGAUUAAUACCCUAUGUUUUCCCAUGAGAGCAUUUGAAUGGGAACAAAGGUUUACCGCUAUGGGAUGGGGAUGCGUCCGAUUAGCUUGCCGGCGGGGUAACGGCCCACCGGGGCAUCGAUCGGUAGGGGUUCUGAGAGGAAGGUCCCCCACAUUGGAACUGAGACACGGUCCAAACUCCUACGGGAGGCAGCAGUGAGGAAUAUUGGUCAAUGGGCGUUAGCCUGAACCAGCCAAGUAGCCGUGAGGGAUGACGGCCCUACGGGUUGUAAACCUCUUUUGCGGGGGAAUAAAGUUCGGCACGCGUGCCGUUUUGCAUGUACCCUGAGAAUAAGGACCGGCUAAUUCCGUGCCAGCAGCAGC
rnacentral:rRNA from 1 species